CCCUGAAUACUUUGAUGAUGUGCGUGAGCGUGCAUCAGAGGUUCAAGACAUCGUCGACAGCAACCCUACUGUCAUCUCCUCUGGGGCACCUGCUCUCCUCACCCGCGUGGCAGAGCUCUUAGACAAUAAGCGGCAGGACCAGGUUUUCGGUGUUAUUCUGGAGCUGAACGCCGUUCAGCGUGAGCAUGUCAUUUUCAUGUAGGCAUGAUUGCAUGAUAGUCUCUGUUGUGAUUCUGGACUGAACGCCGUUCUGCGUGAGGAUGCCAUUUUCAUCUAGGCAUGAUUGCAUGAUAGUCUCUGUUGCGUUGCUGGGCUGAACAUCGUUCACCAUGUGGAUGUCAUUUUCUUGUAUGCAUGAUACUCUCAGUUGACAUACGAUUGGACAUGACAUGAGAUGAAUACUAGCUUAAUGCUCCAUAUGAUGAUUGAACUGGUGUUCUCUUGGCUGUAGUUUUCUUAGAGUUUGCUUGUUUCUGUUAUGCUUGAGCACUUGGUUGUGUUCUUGCUGCUGGCUGUGCUUGAGUAGUUGCUUCUAUCUAGUGUGCUUGAGCACUUGGUUAUGUUCUUGCUGCUGGUUCUGUUGUUGUUGCUGCUGGCUUAGUCCUCUUUGAUGGCCUGUUUGAUUGCUCCUGGCAAAUGGAAGAGAAGUAUCAAUAAGAGUCCCUACAAUUAAGAAAGAUCAGUAUUAAAUCCCAGAGAAAAGAUACCACCUCUAUGCUUCGUUUUUGCUCCCUUUCCUAUUUCUUUUUGCUGCUCUAAUGUAGGUGCCAUUGGAUUGCUUGCCUCUUUCUGGAUUCUGAAGAC
rnacentral:lncRNA from 1 species